rnacentral:rRNA from 1 species
AGCAGCCGCCGCGGGAAUACGAAGGGUGCAAGCGUUACUCGGAAUUACUGGGCGUAAAGCGUGCGUAGGUGGUGGUUUAAGUCCGUUGUGAAAGCCCUGGGCUCAACCUGGGAAUUGCAGUGGAUACUGGGUCACUAGAGUGUGGUAGAGGAUAGUGGAAUUUCCGGUGUAGCAGUGAAAUGCGUAGAGAUCGGAAGGAACAUCUGUGGCGAAGGCGACUAUCUGGGCCAACACUGACACUGAGGCACGAAAGCGUGGGGAGCAAACAGGAUUAGAUACCCGCGUAGUCCCUGUCUCUUAUAC